rnacentral:rRNA from 1 species
GUUAGCUAGGGGUCAGCGGCGGAGGUAAGCAGGGGGGGGGCAGCGUGGUCGGGAGUGUUUGGGGGGAAAGAGUGUGUAGGAGGCCUGGAAGGGCAGCUGUGAAAACGCGAGGCUCAACCUCGUGACGUCGGUUGAAACCACCUGGGUAGGGUCCGGAAGAGGAGUGUGGAAUUCCCGGUGUAGCGGUGAAAUGCGCAGAUAUCGGGAAGAACACCCGUGGCGAAGGCGGCACUCUGGGACGGUACUGACGCUGAGACGCGAAAGCGUGGGGAGCGAACAGGAUUAGAUACCCCAGUAGUC